rnacentral:rRNA from 1 species
AACGAACGCUGGCGGCAGGCUUAACACAUGCAAGUCGAACGCCCCGCAAGGGGAGUGGCAGACGGGUGAGUAACGCGUGGGAAUCUACCCAGUUCUACGGAACAACUGAGGGAAACUUCAGCUAAUACCGUAUACGCCCUACGGGGGAAAGAUUUAUCGGAAUUGGAUGAGCCCGCGUUGGAUUAGCUAGUUGGUGGGGUAAUGGCCUACCAAGGCGACGAUCCAUAGCUGGUCUGAGAGGAUGAUCAGCCACACUGGGACUGAGACACGGCCCAGACUCCUACGGGAGGCAGCAGUGGGGAAUAUUGGACAAUGGGCGAAAGCAUGAUCCAGCCAUGCCGCGUGAGUGAUGAAGGCCCUAGGGUUGUAAAGCUCUUUCAGUGGGGAAGAUAAUGACGGUACCCACAGAAGAAGCCCCGGCUAACUUCGUGCCAGCAGCCGCGGUAACAC